UCAUUCUAUACUCUUUUGGAGCGGCCUCU
rnacentral:sRNA from 1 species